ACAGGGAGCCCAUCCUGUUUCAGGCAGCAGACAACAAUUGAAGUGACCCCAGAGGCAGGAGCCAGGCUGCCCCAGGACAACGAGUCCCGGAGUCUACGUGAAAUAAACAUAGCUGCUUGUUCUCAGAGCCAGCUCUCAACACGCACAGAUGGCACAUGCCAAUUUAUGGAUAUAAUUUAUAUUACAGACCUUCGUCAAGAAAUAAGCUGGAGAACAAUGGAGGAAAAUGCUCAGUUUAAGUCUCCUGUCCACACCAAAGUCCACACAUACACACACACACAACACACACACCCUACUAUAUUGAAAGGAAGUAGAAAAUUGGUGAAAAUUAACCAAGCAAAAUUUGCAAAGCUGACCAGGGGCCCAUUAAAGCUCACACAGUGCGUUUACUGCUGAGCGGACCAGAGUGUAUUCAGAAGGAGCUAAGUGGUGCUUUUAGCAUUUCUGGCAGAGAAGAGUUACCUCAGAAAUGGCCUGACAUGCUAACAGAAAUGGUGACUCACUUUCAGAGUGCAGAUUUCCAUAAUAUCAACAGAUCUUUCAUAAAUCACAUCCAUUAUUGCUUUGGACGAAUCUGUUUUGUCAAACAGCCAAGAAAUAUAUGAACCUAUGUUUAGCAUUGCAACCAGGGCUCAUGGGGUUGAAUAAUUAAUAUUGUGGAAAUGGCAAUACUACUCAGAACAAACAAUCUUUAAAUUCAUACCCGAAUCACUGGAGACCCGAGAUGGACAAAGCAGCCUUGGGGAAAGAGACAACGCUGGAGGGAUCGCCAUACCUGAUACCAGGUUAGACUACAGAGCCACAUUCUUCUGCACCAUGGAGGAUCUCAGAGCAGGCUACAGCCUGGGCAAACAGCUGCACAUGGCCCAGCUCCACCAUUCCUGAGUACCCUAAGGCUUCCACAUCAAUAUAUCCCAGCGAUAUUUAUUCACUGAAGCACUGUUUACAAUUCUUAGGUUAUGAACCUAACCUAGGAACUCAUCGACAGAAGGGUAGAUAUAAAAAAUUUGGUAUAUAUACACACACAAAAUGAAACUUCAGGCAUGAUGCAAGAAAAUAUGUGAAAAAAUUAGGUUUAUAUAAAUAAAAUCAUGUGUGUAUAACUGACAUGAGAAAUGCAAGUGAACCUGUCUAAAGGAAGGGGGCUAACAGGAAGGUAGAUGGGAGGAGGGAGGCACAUGGGUGUGUGGCAAAUUCAACAUAUGGUAUACAUGUGUAACAUAACACAACAUAUAGUAUAUGUGUGUAACAUAUACUCAACAUACAGUAUACAUGUGUAGCAUACACUCAACAUACAGUAUAUAUGUGUAACAUAUACUCAACAUAGAUGUACAUGUGUAACAUACACACAACACACAAUUCAAAGAUUCUCAUGAACAAAGAAUAGUAGGCUUAGUUCUUUCUGCUUUUGUUCAGUCGGUUCUUUUAGUUCAUUUUCUUUUUGUUAUUAAGAGUCUAGCUUUUUAAACUGUGGGUUGCAAUUCCACAUGAAGAGUCUAGCUUUUUUAACUGUGGGUUGCAAUUCCACAUGAAGUCAUACAUGUCUAGAAUCCAGACGAGAUUGUAGUCCAAAGUGCAGGACUGAAAGUGUUUACAGAUGAAAUUGCUAUGAAAAUUUUAAUAAAGAAUAUACACUGUAAACAGAACAUGGGCAGAAAACACAACAGGGAGGUGGGAGUGGAGAUACAGAGAGACACAGAGACAGAGAGACACACACAGAGAGACAUAUACACACAGAAAGACAGAUGAAAACACACAGAGAAAAUGAAUCCUGAGGAGGAAUGGAGUCUUUCCAUAGAAAUUAAGAGAUGUUACCUGUCCUUGUCUCAUAGGCUGUUUGUAUAUAAUUUUAUAAUAUCAUUUCUUAACAAAGAUUUCUCUGCUUGACUAUACCUGCCUAUCUAAUGUUUCCACCAAGGUAUUUGAAAAGUUAUAUAUAACUUUCCUUGCUCUGUUACUAUAAAAACCAUCAUAAAGUUGUUCUCACGUUGGAAUGUGGUAUUUGGGG
ensembl:processed_transcript 5330413P13Rik RIKEN cDNA 5330413P13 gene